UUUAAAUUGAAAUCGGUUAUAAAUUAUGGUGAUGAGUUUGAAUACUAGGACUAGGACAAAUGGUUCUCGCUGCUCUGCUUUGUAUACUCAAUUUCAUAUUGCGUACAGUUGGUGAAGAAUAAACAUGAUCGUUUGCAAAUGCUUUCUCUUCCUCUUUCAUACACACAUGUACAAUCACGCGUGUUAUCUCAUACCUCUCCCUGAAUUCCUUUCGCUUUUAUAAAUGCACAUGCGCCUCUUUUUAUUUCUUCCACUUUCAUUUUCCUGUUUGUUAUUUUAUAACACAAUCGUAAUAAUGCCUGCUCAAUUAUGAUAAAUGCACCAAAUUCCAGCACGCAAUGUGCAUAAGGAAUGCAGUGCGAAAGAUAUCUUUUUCACUCAACAAUGUUCUAAGGAACAAAGUUUCGUAUGGCCCAUACAAAAUUCGAGAAACGUAACAUAUAACACCCUUAUGCGUAGUAGCUCUUACAUAAGAAUCAUUAUCGUUUAAUAAUUAUAUGAUAUCGUAAGAAAUUAAACGAAAUCAGAGAAGAUCGAAAGGUUAGAUUCGACCCAUCGCAUCGAACCGAUGUUGCUGCCCGCCAUCGUCGACUGCGCGUGCGUAUUGCGCAACAGUGACCGAGUUCCGCUUGUGAACAUCGAGUGACCAAAAUCUCCGAUCACCGCACUUCUUAUGCUCUAGGAUCUACAACAGCGAUUUUCAACCAUGUACCGUGAAAACUUUUGAAAGAUGCAGUAUUUAACUAUUUAAUUGAGGGCAUUGAUCUCAUUUUUCUUAGAUUGUCAAAUAAAAGAAUGACAACAACUAAAACAUAAUAUAUGUUUUGUCAUGCCGCAGAAUUUUAAUAAUCAAUUUAUGUGUUCUAUGAGAUGAAAGAGGUUGAAAAUCGCUGCUCCAGAAUCGUUCGAGGUUGACGCGUUGUACGAAUUGGUGAUGCUACAGACAAGAAACAAAUGAACCAGUUUCGUGGACAGCGCUCCACUGGUACCUCUCAAUCUCCAAUAUCAUUCGCGAAUCAAAAGACGCAAUCGAAAGGGAAUAUCUUCUAUUUGGUCACAUCUUUAAUCGUAAGUUGCCAGCAACUCUCUAAUACCAGCAUUGGAGCUCCGCUCACGACACAACGUCCAUAAUGGUACUCCUAAGAAGUAGCUCAUAUGGAGUAACUUCGAAGGUUCAAUCGGAAGUUUCUUGAGGAGUGAGACUUAUUGCAAAGAGACGUAAGUCUCUCAACAAAUUGGACACACAAUGCUGUUCCGGCGAUAAAAUGUUUACGAGACACAGUUAAUAAGGAACGCCACUCUGUUGCUGAAGCCACACACGAUGCGGUCCAUAAAAUAAUACGAUAAUUUCAUUUGAAUAUUUAAUCGCAUUUUAUUAUAGCAUGUUAAUACUUAAUGAAUAAAGUACUGGGUGAAUUGGGUGGUAGUAACUUUAUUUAAAUAAGUGAAUAAUUUAAGAGAAAAAAAAAGGAAUUAUUGCUAGAAAAAUUCGCAAGUGUUUCAUAUUUUAAUUCGGAAUAAAAGUAAAUGCAUCGCGAAGCAGAAAAAUAACAAUAAAAUACAAUAUCGUAAACGCGCAUCGCUUCGUGGGUUCAAAUCAACGAAGUAUGUAUCUCUCUACACAAAAUCGCCAUCGUUUACUGACUCUGCGUCGCCGACAUGGCAGUGAUUACAGCGAUAGAUCGAAAGUCGAUUGUUUGCGACUAUACAUACGAGCUCAAGCUUAGCGCGCCUCUCUUGUUUUACCACGAGAGACAUUCCAACUAGUAAUUGAGACUAAUGAACCGUUCUCCUCUACUCGACGUUGACCGAUUAAAGGCGAGUUCGAUUCUCGAAUAUCUCGAGGCUCGAACCGCUUCAACAAUCACACGCUCUGCCACAAAGAUCGUUUCCGAUUAUUCGUUCCAAUUCCAGCGCGAUUCGCGACGCGCUAUUUCGACGUGAACACGGGGAGACAGCGUCCGAUUUGUUGAAUCGAGACGAUAUAUCGAAAUCGAAAUGCGUGGUCUCCGCUCGAAUUGGAACGUGGUUUUCACUUACACGUAUCCUAUCCAUGGACAUAUGUAAGAAGUAUAGACCGUGGGUGUCUUAUGAAGAGUGCGGUCCUCGUUGAAAAAGAGAUAAAGAUAUUUACCGUUGCCUCCCUUUUUCUUUCUAACAGAUAUUUGUUUUUAAUAGAUAGGGAAGGAAAGAGAAAUCCCGUUACUUAUCCCUAUUUCUUUUACAACGAGGUCCAUUUUCUCAACACGGCAUCUGCGGUUAACACUUCUUAGAUCUAUGGUGCUAUCUACUUUAUUCAAAAGCGAAUUUAUCGAAGAAUUGCGCCACUCAGUUCACGUGUCCUUUUAUGCACCUUUUCUUUUCUCGUAUUUUCCAUGGUGGCUAUAAAUCACGAAUCAAAUGUCAGAUGUCCCCAAGCGUUCCCUCGCAUGGCUGACAGUGCAUGAAAAUGAAACGAACACGACGUGAACGAAGAGCACAAGAACGAAGACGAUGAAUAUGUCGUAUUUGAUCGAAUACAGUUCGCACGACCAUGGCUUGCAUGUGUACGGUAUGAACAUGUGUCAUUGCAAAAGUCGCCAUUGCGUUCGUUACACUCAUCUGUUUUCGAUUGAAGUUGGCUUCGAGUGUAAGAGCAAUAUCGAUAGUUCGAUCCAUUAUCCGAUAACGUAAUAUCGAUACAAGCACACGUUUCGAAUGUUGUUUCACGUCGAUCCCAUCGCAAAGUUAAAACGCCGAAGAAUCGUUCAAUCGUUUAUUCGUUCUUUACUUGAAUCAAUGGCGCCCGAUAACGUGGAUCUGCCAUCGAAUUGUGUUUCUGUUGCAAUAGCAGCCUUUGCAGUUCUACAAUCUUUUUUUUUGGAGAACGACUGCCAUAGUUGGUCCGCCAUAUUGGAUCCGAAGAGACGAAUUGACAACGAUCGUUCGAAAUAUACAUACGAUAAGUAAAUUAAGAGUAGCUAUACAAUUACUUAUUUUUGUAACUAUACAGUAAUUUAUUGGCAUCUUCUUAAUUUUAUUAAUAAUUAUUUAUACAAGAUCAAAUUGUGCUCGGCAGAAUGGUAACACUUGCUUUGAGCAGAAGGCCGUUCGCGUCCUUGAAUUUGUACGAGAUUUAUAUCAUGAUCAAUUUGUGUCUACUUUAUCGUAAUUUCAAAUUCAAGAAAGCGCACGAACGUUUCAGAGUUCGAAGCCGCACAGUUCUCGCUUGUGAAUUCACUGUGCUCGAAGAACAUCGGUAACAUUCAAGGGCCAAGUUCGCUAUAAGUUUCUUUUGGGACACGUGCGAGCGUUUCGCACUACUCGGCUCGCCCUUUGGUCGUCGAAUCGAACAUUCAAUUUCAACUUCGUCAGAUUCGAUUUUUUCGAAUGUGAUAUUACAAAAGUGAUUAAAACGAAAUAACAUUAAAUAAGUAAUGUUUCAGUAAUAACCGAAGGAAAGUAUUUUCUAUAACUUUUACAUUUCUUUACAUUCAUAAAAGUUCUUAAUUUAAUACAAGAUCGACCGUAUAAUAUACCGUAAAACUCAUUGAUUGGAUUAAACCUAACUUUAUUUACAGGUUAAAUAAAUCGAGAAACCCUUCAUAUAUAUCUAUGAGCUUCGAAGGAGGUUUCGUUAAAAAUUAUGUCAAAUAAUAUUAACCAAUUAUCACAAGUGCAGCUCUAAAGACAUGGAUGGCCUGCAACACUGUUUUUCUGCGAUAUGCAACGUCAAAAUAUCAUCCGAACAGUAGUUACUCGAUUUAUCUAGGAAAAAGGCAGGAAACAUAGGAAGAAAUUCAAUGGCUAGUCGUCGAUAUCGAAGCUGAUUAUUCGAUUCAACUCCAUUCAAGAUCGCCUACGCUCGCACACGCAUUACUCUCACCGAGCACACAUGCACACGCACGCCUCAAAGUAACGGGAAAAGGGGGACAAUAAAGGAUGAUAACAUCGAUAACAGGAUUCGGUGCUUCUUCUUCUCACGCAUCUCUGACACCGAGAUCCUCGAUCUACAUCAAAGACUCCACUAUUCUUAAACUCUCGCAAAAUCCUACAAGCCGCUUCAAACAUUAUGUUCAAAGAACAUUUUUCUUCUUCAUUGAUUCCCCGAAUUUUAUUUCAUUUUUUUAAAUCAGUCUAAUUUGCAGGAGACGCUCGUAAAAUCGGGGAAUCACAUUUUUAUCGAAGAUAACGCCACGCGUGCCGCGCAUUGAAAUCAUCGUUGCUGGAGAAGAAGAGAUAUUUAAAUCGAAAGGAAAGGUUGAUAUUACCCCUUCUUCCCGAAGGACAAGAUGAUAAUCGUGCAAGGGUUCCUUCCACGAACAGCCACGACUCUUAGAACGUUUCUAGAAAAAUGAAAAACAGGUGGAAGGAAUCGUUAUACGUGUCUAAAUGGCGCGCCGCGCGCAGACGCCAUCGUCAAAAGGCGCGAAACAAAGACAGCUCGUCCCGAACGUAGCGAUCGUUCGAAUAAAUCAGCUAUCGUUCACGGGACGAUACGAUCUCCUGUCUUCGAAUCUUCCUUUCUUCAAUUGAGAUCAUUCUUCGGCAACGAGAAGGAAUCGGGCCUGCGACGAAGAAGCGGGUUCGAAGGAAGAAGGGAGUGAAUUUCCACGACCAAAUUAUGGGAAUUUACAUUAUUAGAAGAAAGAAUUGAAAAACAAAAAUGGAAGGAGAAAGUUCUCGAAUGAAACUCGACGAAUUCGCGAAGAAGAGAAAGAAAAAAUGGCGAGCAAAAGAGAUAAGAAAUCGGAAGAAACCGGCGUUCAGGUUGAAACGAUGAGGAUGACGAUGAUCUCGCGACGAUGAACAAUGGAGGGCCGACGGAACGACCCUGACAACGGCGAUGCUGACGAUAAUAAUAUUAAUAAUAAUAAUAAUAAUACAAUUUGAUAUAAUAUAAUAAUCAUAAUAAUAAUAAUAUUAAUAAUUAAUAAUAAUAAUCCUUAUCGUUUAUAUCAAUGACGAUUAUUUAACGAUUAUCGGUAAAAUCAAAGUGUGAUAACGCUUUCUCUCUCUCUCUCUCUCUCUCUCUCUCUCUCUCUCCAUAUAUAUGUAUAUUAUAUAUAUGUAUAUAUGUAUAACGAUCUUCAAUUUCCUCCUAAAAUUGUCGGCGCGGAAGGAGGGGGGAGGAGGAUCGGGAUAGGGGAAGUAGGUAGAUCUACCAUGAAAAACCGCGUCUGUCCUUUGAUCGGGACAACAGGUAUAAUACUAUCAGUUAAUUAAUAUCAUCUCGUGUAAUAAUAAUCAUAUUAAUGACAUAGGGUAAUCGUGUUAGUGCUAAGUGUAUUUAUCAUCCGUCUUAAUAUACAUAUAUAAUUAUGUAUAUGUAUGUAUAUCUUGUACGAUAUUUAUGGUAUGUACAAUACGCAGUCUCGAAAUAUCUUUUCAUGUGCGAAGAUUGAUAGACUGGAGGGAUGACGAUAAAACAGAAUUUCUGUUGUGUGUGUACCUAUGUGUACGUGUAUAAUAUGUAUAUAUAUGACACGUGUACGUAUGAUGUAUGUGUAUUAUAAUUUAUGACAAUCGUGCGAACGAUUGAUCAGUACAGCGCGUGUCCGUGUGCUCCUCAUUCGCUCGUGUGUAUAUCGCGUACAUACGUACAUACACACACACACACAUACACACACAUGUAUAUACACACACUUAUAUAUAUAUAUAUACACGAAUAUAAUAUGCGUAUAUAUAUAUAACCGUAACUAAAGUUAAUAUAUUAACUUCUUUUCCUUUCGUCAUAUUUUUUUUCUUUUGCUUCAUUUUCUUUAGCACACAUUCUACAUAUGUACUCGAUUAUUACUCGCAAUUUCACUCGAUUUUCUUUCCUUUCUUUUUUCUUUAUAAUAGGUACUAAUUUGGGGAUCCACGGCGGCAUUAAUUAGUGGAACACUUUUUGGCAUUUGCAUUUUUUUUCUUCUUUUGCUUUAUGUUAGUCCCACGGUGUUCUUCUUCUCUGUCUCAUACACACACAUAUAACAAUUUCGCUCUCGCUGUCACACUUUCACACGUAAAUUGUUCGACCUCCGUUCUCCAGAAAGAAACGCACCCUCUUCCGCUCUCAUUUUCUGUGUUUCAAUAUCACACGUGGCCGUGUACUAUGCUCGUGCGUGUUCGUACGUGCGUUCUAUUCCUAUUUCCUUUUGUUGCUGCUGUUACUGGCAUACCGUAUGUGCGCAUGUAUAAGAUGAUGCUCGAUAUUUCUACGUUUUCUAGCAAAUCUCCUCAUUUUCAGUUUCUUCCUAGUCUCUGUUCUUCCUCCGACUUCCUAUUCUUUGCUCUAUUAUUUACUUAUUUUUUUCUUCUUCGAGAUGGUCGCGCGCGAGCAACGAGGAUGUUUCUAAAAGGUAGAACACCGGUCAGAGAUCGGUGCAUCGAGACAGGGGAUCGAAACAACGAUUCAUUAUCGAAACUUUCAUCAGCACUAUUUCGAUAAUAUUCCGAAUACGCUACAUUGAGUAUUUCGGAACGUAUACGUCAUUAAAUUCUGCAUGUUUAUUUGCUUAAAACUUUUUAAAAUCCUCUUCGUACAACAUUCUGAACAAUCUUUUAACAUUCUAGAUUUGUCAUCCAAAAUGAGAGUAAUAUUGAAAUAUAGAAAUCCAAGAAUCGCAGCAGAUUUAAAGAAUCUGGAAAAUAUCAAGUUUCCGAGCUUAAUAUUUUCGUAAAAGAAGAAUUCUCAUCGAAUCUUCGUCGACAUCUUUUCAGAAAUCCCAGACGACCAAACGCUACGCUUUUCAAUCUUUCGUCCUUGCCGUUCCACCCUCGACUCGUCAGUCUCUUCGUCUUCUUAUUUUUUAAGCUCAACGCUACCCCCUCCUCGCUUUCUUUCUAAAUCUACAUCUUCCCCCUGGGUCGCUUCCCUCUCUCGUAAGUCUCGCAGAUAUUCGCCUACGUGUGUGUGUGUGUGUGUGUGUGUGUGUGUGUGUGUAAAAUGUGUCUUUAUGCAUGUCUAGGUGUGUUAUACGUUUAUAUGUGAGAGUGUACGCAUUCGCAUUCCUUGAACUCGACACUUGGCACAAACAACAGAGUCUUUGUAAAAAAGGCACUAUUUUUGUAAAGCGAAACAUUCACGCGUUAUAUCACGUCUCGUCGCCCUCAACAUUCCUAUUCUCACCCUGGGAAAGCAGGGUCCCUCCCGUGAGACGCGUAGAGAAGGGGAAGAUACAGUCUGUGCGGAUUCACUCGUUUGCUCGAGGCCAUUUUUGCUGUCUACUCCCUUCAUUUUCCUUGAAUACUUUUUUUUCUUCUUUUAUUUUAUUUCUGUAGAUCUUUAGUUCUUUCUGCUACCGAUUUAUCAGUUGGAAGUAAGAAGAUUAAUUUAGUUUUAUGAGAGAGACUAUUUUGUUCGAAUAUUCUGUUACAUCUGGUGUUUGUUUGAAUUUCUCAAAUUUGUAAAAAUUCUAGCGCUAAUUUAUUAGACGAAUAGAAAAAUCAACUUACUCUUGAGAGAAGACGACUGUAUAAAUUAGGCAAUAGAUAUUUAUAUUUAAUCCUGUUAUGGUUUCUACAUUUCCAUAUUCUUCGAUCUCUUUCGUUUCGACGAAAGGACGAACGAAGGGACUUUAACGUUUCAAGAAAGUCAUUUGAAUAAAAUUGAAAUAUUAAGCAAUGAAAUCAUCCAUAUUAAUAAUGGUUCUUUUAUACCAGUCUUUAACUUGAGAAAUGUUUUUAACGGUUAAAACACACGAAUAAAAAAUGAUCCAGAAUGAUCUAUAUUCCUGAUUUGACUAAAAGCGAAGAUAUAGUGAAUGUAAUAUCCUAAACUUUCGUCUAAAUCACUUUAGCGUUUUACAGUAUUAUAUCAUAGGAAACUUAGGAAAUUCCAGCACCAUAGAUUUAUUAUCUUCCAUUCUCCUACAUUUACUUCCUAUAAUUUUAUUAACUCCUAAGAUCUGGCAGUAAUAAAUCAGCAAAUAGCCUCGAUAAUCAAACUAAUCUCGCACGAGCCACGAAGAACUAAAGGUCUAACUUAAAUAUCCCCUUUCGAAUUCUCAUCUUCACGUCUGCUAUGUUCCAUUCUCAUCGCUCGAUUACAUAUUCCAUCGACCCGUGUUUGCGAAGAAGAAGUCAGAGCUAGAAGAAACGUGAAAAAUAUCGUCCGCAGAGAGUUUGGCUGUAUUAAUUCCAUCGUAAGCUCCAUGAAGAGAUCACGGUAUUGGGCUGGUUCAUCGAUAUUUCGGUCGUACAGACCGCAAGGGUGCAACACACGAAGAUUCUGAAUUACGAGAAAGUCCCUCGUAGACGGUGUCGUGGUUCGUGACUCACGUCAACAUGUAUAAAAAACGUUUUCUCAGUCUUAUUGUAGUUUUAGUGCAAAAAGCGUGUGUAGCUUCCUCGAAUUGAUCAACUCGAGGAUCGCGAAUGUUUCCUUCCAACUACGGAUUACGUGCGAUCGCUGUCUGCCUAACGUUGUACGAUACGAGAAUUAUACUGUUUUUCAUCGAACUCGACGAUCGAUGAUCGGUAUUCGUGAGAUUCGAACGCUGUUACCGAUCGAUUAGAAAAUUCACGUUUCUUUCCCGGAUUUUCAUCGGUACAGGUAUUCAGGUGGAUAAAUGUCGUCGAUAGAAUGCGCAUUUUUAUGCUUUAAAAUCAUGUAGAUUAAUUUACUAAUAUCUUUCUAUUCAAAUAAAUUCAUGUUUUCAUGAAUAUGAUCGAACAAAUGAAAUCUAAGUAGAAAAUUGUUUUUGCCGGAAAAUAUUAUUACGAGUAUUAUACUUUGAAUAUGUUACACGUUCUUGCAUGUUACGUUAAUCUUUAGCGUCUUCAAAUUUCAUAUAAAUGCAUAAAAAUUCGCAAUCUGCUUCUCAGGAAUGUGAUUAUCAAAGAAUGGCAGUUUUAUUAUUCAUAGAAAUUCCAGAGUUUUUGGGCGUGUUUGAAAUCGUAAAAAUCUUGAUGAUUCACGGUGUUUCAUUUUUUAUCUUCCCUCUAUUUUUCUCUGUUAUUUUAUAUGCUUCUUAAGGUCCAACAUCUACGUCGAUCGUCGAGGUUCGACGUUCUUUCCUCCGCAAAAAGGGUAAUUUGUAAACGUAUACAAAUGUCGGGACGCUGUGUAUAGUGUAUAUAAUACAAUACGAGUAUCAAAAUUUUGAAAAGACGAUCUUUUAAUUCCAAAACGAUCCGGCCAGUGAUGUUCCUCUUUUCUGUAUAGGUGCCGUCAGCCACAAGUAUUACCACACUUGCUCACAUUCAGCGUAAAUCGAGUGCUUUUUACUGCUUUUAUUUUUAUUUAAUUCGCAUCAUAUAUGCCUUAUAAUAUAAAAUAUUAAAUAAAGUAAAAUUUGUUAGAGAUCUUUAACCCUUUAACCAGGAGGUAGGAUGAGUUAACUCGUUACUCGGAUUAACUAUCUUUUGGAUACAAUAAUUUCUCUAUUUAUAGAUGUCCUAUUUUUAAAUAUGUUCUCAUAAUUUCCCUUAAAAAUCAAUUGUAUUGUGUUUACAUUACAAGGCCUAGAAAUUGUACUGGCUGUAAUUAAUUUGUCCGUAUUUGCUUUUAGUUUCACGCUUAUUAGAUCGCGGAUGUUCGUGCGAUUUUCUCCUUCUAUCGACACGAUUAAAGAAAUGGUUUUCAAACAGAGAAUUUCGUCUUUGCAAUAUUAUAAAGAGUAUUUCGUUUUGGAUAUUUUGUAUAUUUUCACAUGUAUUACGUACAUUCUGUGCACUGUUGCGCAUUUAAAUUUCUCACAAAUGCACGAACAUCCACGGUUUAACAGUUACAAAGGCUGUCUGAUUAUAAAUUCUGGUUCAGAAAUGACCCGGUCGAGAGAAUUAAUAACGAGUAACGAGUAGGUGUCCUAAUACUUACACAGCCGACCAUAAGCGUUAGGACACCCGCUGAUAUUUAGUAAGAAUCGAAUGCUCUUCGCCUCUUUCAUCUUCUAAUUAUUUCUAAUUAUUUGUAAAUCUGUUGCUUCGUUCGCAUCAUACGUACCUUAGAGUGCAAAACACUUGUUAGUAAAGUAAAAUUUACUCGAGUUUUUCAAUAAAUGUAACGAGUCGGUGUCCUAAUACUUAUGGCCUGCAGUGUAUAGUCAGCAAUGCAUGUCCUAGAAUAACCCGUCUACGAAAGAGUCGUUUUACAAGUAGAGAAAGCAAUACCGUACGACGUUGUCGUCCCGUUCGUCCAUCGAACAACGGUAAAAUAGAACAGAUGGAAGUACUCUUGAACGAGUGAGAAGGGAAACCUUCUUCGAAGAAAAGGUUUUUCUUUCUCGAACCGUAAGAGAAAACGCGUGUUCCGUUUACUCGCUGGCACAAUGGCAGAAAAAGUCGAGGACGAUUCGCGGUGAGGAAAAAUGCAACGAACGGCGGGAAAAGUGUUUUUCUUGCUAUCGCUACUUGUGUCGAUUUCUCCUCAAGCAUCGACGAUUGCUUUUUCCUCCGUUAGUUUUCUUCUUUCCUACGGUUUCGAUCGUUCGUCUUGAUUUUAUCCGACGAUCGUUUAACCGAUUUUCUCGUGGUUGAACUGUGUCAACAUGUUUUUUUUAAAAAAGUCUUCUACCUUUUUAUAUUUUAUUUUAUGCUUUGACAGACAUUGCGCUAUACCUAAAUAAAUAUGUAGAUAUCGUUUGCUGUGAACGGAGAAGUCUCGCGUAGAUUGUGAAUUUUCUUUUACAAUUUUCGCAUGGAAUUUUUGUAUUGUAUUGUAUUAUAAAGUAAAGUGGCAUUUCCUCCAUCGGAUGAAGCAGCUUCUUUUGAAGCUCUAACGGUGUAGACAUAGAUUUGACGUAUUACAUAAAUGUAACACAAAAAUAGAAAAAGAAAAACGUUUCAUUAUAAAGUUACUGCAGGUUGUAUCUGCCAAGUCGAGGCAAAUAUAAUUUUUCAAUUUCUGUCUCGCGAUCGCAAGAUAUCACGUGCCUUCUAGUCUCUUAAAAAAGAUAAUGACACGAUAUGAAAUUAAAAUUCAACGAUGUCGAACUUCUCCACUCGUGUCAAACAACUUCUACAUAGCCGUUAGAACGAGUUUCGUUUAAAAAUUCUACAAGGUUCUAAAAGCUGAAUUUCUUAAUAAAUGAUCUUAGUCUUUCUGGCAGUGAUACUUUAUGUGCAAAUCGCACUUACAAUUUCUAACAAUCGUUAAAUACAGUUUUCCAAUAAUUUCUAGUAUGAAUUUAUCCUACCGGGCUUCCAUAUUGAAACCCAUUGUACCAUUCUCCAUUUACAUUACAUUUUAUCUCAUUUCUCAUCGAGCACAUUGACACAAUUCGAACAAUUUCAACCUCAAAAUUCCACAAAAAAAACUGACACGUCAAAUUCUCCGAGUAAUCCCAAUUUUCUCUUCUCCCUUGGCAGUGAUUAAUAUCUUACGUGCGUGAAGCUGCACAACUUCAUCGCCGAGGUAACAGUAGAGAUUUAACAUGAAAAUGUCUCUUUUGAAGCUAACGAACGGUAGCAACGAUGAACGAAGCCUCAGGAAAGAAGAAAACCGAACUUUGGUAGCGCAAGAAACGAACGACGACGGUGAACGACUUUCGAACGUGGUGUUCUUCUCUCUUUUCCUAACCGGUGUGCGCUGUUCUUAUUCUCUCUGCACUCUCUCUUUCUCUCCGGCUUUCUCGUCGACUUUUCCUUCCACAUUCUCUCCCUCCCUUUCACUCUUCCGUUGCGUCCCUCUUUCUUUGUUUAGAAAUCGUUCAAGUAGAAAAAAGAAAGCGUUACGAACGAAUAAAAAAUCGUUAGAGACAUUGACACAGCCAAAUCUUUGUUUAAACGUCUCUGUCACUCCGUGUUGUUUGUUCCGAUACAGCGUACCUAAUCUCAACUCUGGGCCGAUUCCCCUUAAAUCCUACUUUUAUUGGGAAGCAACUCGUUCUCCUCGUCCUAAUGUCUCUCCACCCACCCUCUCUUCGUUCCACACCGAACCAACUUUGAACACUUGGUGGAUAUUGCGUUGUGCGUGCACCGGACGAAUCCCGUCGCGCGGCCUUGAAAAUCGAGGAUCGUUCGGUCGGCACCUGUUCCCCUCUUCGUUUCGAUUUCUUCCCACUGGUUCACCUGUAUUUGAGCCGUUUACAGGCCAAAGUGGUUACCUCCACUUUACGACAUUUCUGAAAUGUUAGCGUCGAAGCACUUGAUCGACGUUUAUCGUAUAUAACUUGAUCAACACACGUUCAAUGCGAAGUCGACACAUAUGUCGAGGAAGAGGAAAUUAUACGGUGACGACGUCGGUAUACGUAUCGACGUCGUUCUAUUUUAUUUUUGUUUUUUUAUUUUUAAACGAAUUAAUGCGUGUUCAUCUUUUUUUUCUAGGAACAAGUAAAACGAACUUUUUUCCUCACGGAAGGUAGGACUCGUAGAGAUCCUCCCGUAUGGAACGUGUUAAUUCUCCCCGUUUUGCGUCUCGUGCAGUUAACUGAUUUAAAAAUGGCUAAUAAGCGGCUCAUUUAACCCUAACGUAGGCAACCAGCUAUCCAUUUCUAUAUUUCUCUUACCAAUUUUCAUUUCCUAACGAAGAUAUUCUUCCGGGACGAUUAUAACAAGGAUCUCCUCCCUUUGAAUAUUUCUAAAAUUUAUGUAAAACUUUUAAAUAUCGAAGCUUCAAACUUUAUACAUUUAUUAGAUAACCAUGGAGCUUUGGUUGCCUACGCGAGGGGUAUUUUCUUUCUCGUUGCUUUUCAUAUGGUAUAGUAUAAUUUUGUAUCAUAUAUUCUUUUUAUAUAAUUUUCGAAAAAUUGGCUUUUGAAGAGAAUCGAAAGGGGAUUAACGGUAGCCUGACCGAACGAGGAUAUGCAAUAGAGAUCGUGGACGCGCGAUGGUUCCCCAAAAUUCGUUCUAAUUCGUCCUAAUUUUGUUUGUUAACAUCGCGGGAAAGCUGCGGACGAUUACGUGGACCGGUCCACGGUAUAAAUAUCCGGCGAGUCGUCCGGUUCGUCGCACAGAAUCGAAACGUAACUCGUUUUGGCUGACUAAAAGACACACAGCGUUCCUUUUGAUCGAUCCUGACCGAUCCACGUCAGCCAACCUAAUCUAUUUAAUUACUUACUAAUAACAAACACUGGCUCUCCGUGACUUCUGUACGUAUAUGUAUGUCUAGUGCAUACAUGUAUAAGUAUGUGUAUGUGUAUACAUAAGUUUAUUUGAAGGUUUUGUACGGUGAGCUGUACGGUUUCUCGCUCUUCCGGGGAGGAAUAAAAAAAGGAUAUUUGAUCUCGUCUGAUCGCGUUCUUCCUCCCUAUGUGCUAUGUAGUUAAAAUUCUUUUUUUUUUUUCCUACUCGAAUAUGCUCGAACUUUUA